CAAAGUAGGCACCUUGGGACCUCACACAGUUCUCUGAUCUUUGUUGAUUGCAGCCUGAACAUGUUAACAUUCCCAGGUGUUCUGUCUGUUGCAGGCCUUCCAGAACGUGGAUCACUUUCAACAGAUUCUUGACUAUAGUUGAAGUGUCUGUGCCAUACUUUUAUUUGCAUUUCAUUAGUUGCAUCA